UUUGCGUCGAAGGUAUACCGGUAAGGAGUGCUGGAGCGAAUAGAAGUGAGCAUGCAGGCAUGAGUAGCGAUAAUUAAUGUGAGAAUCAUUAACGCCGUAAACCCAAGGUUUCCUACGCGAUGCUCGUCAUCGUAGGGUUAGUCGGGUCCUAAGUCGAGUCCGAAAGGGGUAGACGAUGGCAAAUUGGUUAAUAUUCCAAUACCAACAUUAGUGUGCGAUGGAAGGACGCUUAGGGCUAAGGGGGCUAGCGGAUGGAAGUGCUAGUCUAAGGUUGUAGGAGGUUAUACAGGCAAAUCCGUAUAACAAUACUCCGAGAACUGAAAGGCUUUUUGAAGUCUUCGGAUGGAUAGAAGAACCCCUGAUGCCGUCGAGCCAAGAAAAGUUUCUAAGUUUAGCUAAUGUUGCCCGUACCGUAAACCGACACAGGUGGGUGGGAUGAGUAUUCUAAGGCGCGUGGAAGAACUCUCUUUAAGGAACUCUGCAAAAUAGCACCGUAUCUUCGGUAUAAGGUGUGGUUAGCUUCGUACUAGGAUUUACUCCGAAAGCGAAGAAACUUACAACAAAGAGUCCCUCCCGACUGUUUACCAAAAACACAGCACUCUGCUAACUCGUAAGAGGAUGUAUAGGGUGUGACGCCUGCCCGGUGCUCGAAGGUUAAUUGAUGGGGUUAGCAUUAGCGAAGCUCUUGAUCGAAGCCCGAGUAAACGGCGGCCGUAACUAUAACGGUCCUAAGGUAGCGAAAUUCCUUGUCGGUUAAAUACCGACCUGCAUGAAUGGCGUAACGAGAUGGGAGCUGUCUCAAAGAGGGAUCCAGUGAAAUUGUAGUGGAGGUGAAAAUUCCUCCUACCCGCGGCAAGACGGAAAGACCCCGUGGACCUUUACUACAGCUUGACACUGCUACUUGGAUAAGAAUGUGCAGGAUAGGUGGGAGGCUUUGAGUAUAUGACGCCAGUUGUAUAUGAGCCAUUGUUGAGAUACCACUCUUUCUUAUUUGGGUAGCUAACCAGCUUGAGUUAUCCUCAAGUGGGACAAUGUCUGGUGGGUAGUUUGACUGGGGCGGUCGCCUCCCAAAUAAUAACGGAGGCUUACAAAGGUUGGCUCAGAACGGUUGGAAAUCGUUCGUAGAGUAUAAAGGUAUAAGCCAGCUUAACUGCAAGACAUACAAGUCAAGCAGAGACGAAAGUCGGUCUUAGUGAUCCGGUGGUUCUGUGUGGAAGGGCCAUCGCUCAAAGGAUAAAAGGUACCCCGGGGAUAACAGGCUGAUCUCCCCCAAGAGCUCACAUCGACGGGGAGGUUUGGCACCUCGAUGUCGGCUCAUCGCAUCCUGGGGCUGGAGCAGGUCCCAAGGGUAUGGCUGUUCGCCAUUUAAAGCGGUACGCGAGCUGGGUUCAGAACGUCGUGAGACAGUUCGGUCCCUAUCUGCCGUGGGCGUAAGAAGAUUGAAGAGAUUUGACCCUAGUACGAGAGGACCGGGUUGAACAAACCACUGGUGUAGCUGUUGUUCUGCCAAGAGCAUCGCAGCGUAGCUAAGUUUGGAAAGGAUAAACGCUGAAAGCAUCUAAGCGUGAAGCCAACUCUAAGAUGAAUCUUCUCUAAGCUCUCUAGAAGACUACUAGUUUGAUAGGCUGGGUGUGUAAUGGAUGAAAGUCCUUUAGCUGACCAGUACUAAUAGAGCGUUUGGCUUAUCUUU
rnacentral:rRNA from 1 species